UGAUGUUUCCGUCGAAGACAGACCAGAGACCACAAUCAUGCAUUGCUUUGAUCCAUGCUUGCCCUGUUGGAGGGGUCCCCAAGGGACCAGAACCAUCUGACCCACCUUGUAGGGGUGGGGGAAGAUGGGGAGACCUGCUGGGUUGAGGGGAACUGCAUCUCCCCUCCCUGGCUUGGUAUUUACUUCCCUAGAAGACAGGGAGAAGUGGCAGUUUAAUGUCCACCCUGAAGACGGGAAGCUGCCGGGACCUAAGUUUGUGCUGAAAAGUGGAAGUGAUGAGUGGUGUGUAACUGGAUAAAAGGCUUUGAAUAUUUUUUUUUGAAAACCCUGAAAAGCGGAAAGAAAGAGUCCUUGCUUGGAAGAAUGAUAGUGGCGAACGGAGAGUAAGAGGAAAAUAUAAGGAAAAGGAAAAACCGGAAAUAAAAGAAUUAUAUGAAAUCAGAGAUUAAAUUUGAACUAAUAUACAGAAUUGGACAUUAAUUAGGCAUUGGAUAAAAUGCUGGACUUAUUUGGAAUGGAUAAAAAUUAACAUUACUACUACGGAAAAGAGAAAAAAACUUUGAAAAGAAAGUGAUAUAGAGCAUCACCUAAUCGUUAAAGAUUUUCCUCUUUUAUGUUUUUAUGGAGAAUUACUGGUCGCAUAAAUAUUUGAAAGAGAGAAGAAAUGGAAUAAAAAAUUAUUAAUACAACAAAAACCCCAGAAGUGUUUUUUUUAAAGAGGGGACUAUAGUAAAAUAUAAAGGAAUACAAUAUUCUGGGACUGCUAGAGGUUGUCUGUGACAAGAAAAUAGAAGAAAGAGAAAGUGAGAGAAACAGAAACUUUUGGCAAGGACUAUAAUAGAAAAAUUUGAUCUUUAAUAAAGAAAUGGAAGAAAUAAGCAAAGAAUUUAAGUCAGAGCUGCAAACUGUGAGAGAUAUGUUAAAAGAAGGAAUGAAUCAACAGAUUAAAGAAA